CCUUCGAUAGCUCAGUUGGUAGAGCGGUGGACUGUAGUUGGUUAACCUUUAGAAAUCCAUAGGUCGCUGGUUCGAAUCCGGCUCGAAGGA
rnacentral:tRNA from 1 species